AUGCCAUGAUGAGGGCAUGCAGUGAUGUACUCUUGGAGGCGUACUCAUGCCUCCGAGAUGGACUCAUAAUUUUUCUAUUGGAAUCUUGAAAUCUUGUUCUGAAGGGC
rnacentral:snoRNA from 1 species